UGAAGUGUAGCUCAAUGGUAGAGCGGCGUAGGGGUAUCUUCGCUGGUCGUUGGUUCGAUUCCAACCACUUCAU
rnacentral:tRNA from 1 species